rnacentral:rRNA from 1 species
UCUCCCGGGCUACACGCGCGUUACAAAGGNCAGGACAAUGGGCUUCGACACCGAAAGGUGGAGGCAAUCCCGAAACCUGCUCGUAAUUCGGAUUGAGGGCUGCAAUUCGCCCUCAUGAAGCUGGAAUACGUAGUAAUCGCGGGUCAACAUCCCGCGGUGAAUAUGCCCCUGCUCCUUGCGCACACCGCCCGUCAAACCACCUUAGUUGGGUCUGGACGAGGGUUUGUCUUCUGACAAGCUCGAAUCUGGGUUCAGCGAGGAGGGUUAAGUCGUAACAAGGUA